rnacentral:lncRNA from 1 species
UCGUAGAGUCCCAAACUAGUGGGACUCUUGACCCUGGUAUCCAAAAUGUGUGGGACUUGUGAUCAAAGAAUCCUAAUUCUCGAUCACAGAGUCUCAGACACGUAGGACUCAUAGUCCACAAAUAUUAAGACUCUUCAUCAGCCAUCAGAUCAGAUAGGAACCUCUAAUGUGUGUGACCCCGUAGGUUCGAACCUAAGUCGGUAGCACAGGAACCAAUUCCUGUACUAAUCGAAGUGACCAUCUAGCAAUGGUACCCGACAUUCGGAUAGGUCGAAUAGUCACAAUCGCAAUACUCAGAACCUACGUGAAUAUGGUUACUGUAUAAUUCAUCCCUUUUGACCCCUGU